CUGAGACGCAGCCAAGACCAAAAGCAGUGCGCUUCCUUCCCUGGCUCGGCAAAGUGAAAAGGAGGUUCAAUAGCUGUUUUCCGGCAUCAUAUUCUGGUGAAAAGUUGGAAACCUCCAACUGAAAAGAUUCAACGCGCUUCAAGAUACGCUCCACAUCAGAAUCCUCAUAUGCGAAGGUGGAUGUGUGGUCAUUAGUGCUUGGGGUGGAUUCCACCGACAUGCUCAGGUCCCAGAAAACAGAAGAAGCUGCGUGUGGAAGCUGCUUGUGGAAGCUGCAAGGCCACUCUGUCUGAAUCACAAGGGGCAUUUUCUUUUAAUUUGAAAAAAGUGGAUGUAAAAGAAGGGUCAGAGUAUUUUGCAAAUACAUUAUUAGCAGCAGAACUGUAAAGACUAGUCUGGAUAAAUUAAUAUGGGUUUAAGUAUGUACCUGAAUAGAUUGUCCAUUAUUUUUCCACAUACAGAACAAUGCCAAAACAUCAUAGCAACUCCUUCAGUAUAGUGAUGCUGCAGACCUAUUAUCCUGAUAAAAGACUUGAGGAAAGGCUGUUGUCGGCCUAAAACGUUGCUGUAUUUCUGUCUAACAAAAAGCCCUUUUUUCAAAUAAAGGUGCUGUCUAUCUGCAAAAAUUGGACCUAUUAUCCUGAUAGCCUAGUUUGUAUUUAUUCUGUUUUCUCUACCAUGAUCAGGUUAUGCUGGUUUCUCUACCGGCCAAGGAGAAAGUUGUGGCAGUUAAGAUCUUGUUGAAGAGUAACAAGGAAAAGUAUGAAGACAUCAUGAAUUUAGACAUCAAUUACAAACAAAAUAAUAAAUUAGCAGCAUACCUAA